rnacentral:lncRNA from 13 species
UCUCAGUCAGACUACUACAGGUGUACUGUUGGGGGAAAGUCUCAGUCAGACUACUACAGGUGUACUGUUGAGGGAAAGUCUCAGUCAGACUACUACAGGUGUACUGUUGAGGGAAAGUCUCAGUCAAACUACUACAGGUGUACUGUUGAGGGAAAGUCUCAGUCAGACUACUACAGGUGUACUGUUGAGGGAAAGUCAUCAAACUACUACAGGUGUACUGUUGAGGGAUAGUCUCAGUCAAACUACUACAGGUGUACUGUUGAGGGAAAGUCAUCAAACUACUACAGGUGUACUGUUGAGGGAAAGUCUCAGUUAAACUACUACAGGUGUACUGUUGAGGAAGUCUUAUUCUGUUAAACUACUACAGGUGUACUGUUGAGGGAGGUCACCUGACUACUACAGGUGUACUGUUGAGGGAGGUCACCUGACUACUACAGGUGUACUGUUGAGGGAGGUCACCUGACUACUACAGGUGUACUGUUGAUGGAAAGUCACCUGACUACUACAGGUGUACUGUUGAGGGAGGUCACCUGACAGUCUGCAUGUUAUCUUCAUCCUCCACCAACCUUUGUCCCAGUCCUGCGCUGCACUGCUUCAUUCGUGUCGACUGCCCAGAGUCCGCGAAUACAACCCUGCUACAACCACACACACAGAGACGUUGGCUUACAUCAUCUUAUCGUUCCUGUCUACUGGAGGAAGGAGAGGUAGGAGGGAGAGACUGGUUUUGGUUGACAUUCCCUUGUUUCUUAGUUGCAUUGGGUUUCAUAUGGUUUUCUAUGGCGUGGUCUUUCCUGUUUGAGUGUGUGUCUGCGUGUGUAUCUGUGUCUGUGUGUGUAUCCUUGUCUGUGUGUGUAUCUGUGUCUGUGUGUGUUUGAUCUCUAUGCUAAUUAAGUGUGAUAAGAAAGCACUCUCAGUUCAGUUCCUUGUCAGAUACUGGGACUGGGAGGCAUUGCAGAAAGGUCUGAUAAUGCCACGUAUCAAGGGCAUCAAGAAUGUAGGAGUGACAGUAUGAGAGGCAUAGAGCAAUGGAGGCCAAUAGAGCAGGACAUUAAGGGUCUGCAAUGGAACCAGUCUAAUGUUGUUGUGCAUAUAGGAUCAAUCAGAAAGUCCUUCUGGUCUUCUGAGUUUCUCCCACCAAGUGGAAGGAAGAUACAAAUCUCUACCUAUACAAAAAAAUAUAUACUGUAGGGUUGACUGUAUCUGAAUGCAAUGGGUUUUCCCACUAUGUCAACACAGCUAGCAGGCAACAACAACCAUGUAAAGAUGAAAGGUAGCCAUUUUGUGUUUACAAAGUAUGUGCCAACACUGACGACCAACGUCCACAGUUAGUCUCCUUGCUCAACUCGUUGCUCAACUCAACAAAAGUCGACGCUCAACUUAAUAUUUACCUAAACGGGCACGAUUAGUGUAAGAUACAACUAAAAACAACUAUUCAGUCAGUUUCUGAAAUACACUU